CUCAAACUGCAUGCGGGCCGAAGCAAGGUCUGAAAGCAGUUGAAGAACUGAUAUUUUUCACAAAAAUGUUAGUAGCCGGUUCAGUUUCACUUGAAAAUCUCGCUAACAAAGUCUAUCAGACCAGGUUAUCCAUGUCAAAUUUUCUGAACUGAUUAAACUGUUAGAUUACAGAAUAUCAUUAUUCAAAUUCGAAACCUUUAAACAUUUGAAAUCCAUAAAUUAAAUGCAAUAAGGUGCUGCAAGUUUGAAAUGCCACCGGUAUCGAACCUGUUACAGCCAACAUCAUAUGGAAGUUCCUGAAGAAAAUAGUUUUAUAGCAUACUUAAAUUCUGCUGCUUAUAGGGUCAUUAUGUUUUUUCGAUGCUAAGAAAUUGAAGAAAUCCUCAAUGCUUUCGCCGGAAUUCGAACUCUGGGCUCCCGAUUAUGUGACGAACGUGCUUCCAGCUAUACCACAAAGACACGCGAAAAGGAGAAAGAAAAUACCAUUUAUGGAAGCAUCUGCCUCUCCCCUCCCACUUUUUUUUCCGAAGAAAUUAUGACAAUAUGGGUCAUCAUGCAGGUUUUGAUGGCUAGCGUAUAUUGCGUCACAAUCACACAUCCUGCAUCAUAGAAAAUGGAAGGAAAUUAAUUGCCAACAUUAAUUCAUUGCGGCUUCAGCACCAUGAAGGACAAGGGACAAAAGGUGACCCAGAGAUAUCAAUCAGGCUGGUGGUGAAUACCCAUCUCUCUCUUCUCGAUAAACUGUCCGAAUGGGAUGACCCUGGAGAUUAUCAGAAAUAACAAUUUAAACAAAAAAUAAAUGAAAUGCACUUCUAAAAAUGCUUUUCAGCGCGUACUAAUUUAUACACAGAAUGAAUAAAUAAUAAUCAAUAAAUGCAGAAACCGUGCUUAGGCUUGCUGUUUAUAAUUAAAAUUAGGAAAAUAUAGCUAUGACAGUAAUUUAAAAAUAAAAAUAAACUUAAAGAACGGUGUUU